rnacentral:rRNA from 1 species
GACGAACGCUGGCGGCGUGCCUAAUACAUGCAAGUAGAACGCUGAAGAGAGGAGCUUGCUCUUCUUGGAUGAGUUGCGAACGGGUGAGUAACGCGUAGGUAACCUGCCUUGUAGCGGGGGAUAACUAUUGGAAACGAUAGCUAAUACCGCAUAACAAUGGAUGACCCAUGUCAUUUAUUUGAAAGGGGCAAAUGCUCCACUACAAGAUGGACCUGCGUUGUAUUAGCUAGUAGGUGAGGUAACGGCUCACCUAGGCGACGAUACAUAGCCGACCUGAGAGGGUGAUCGGCCACACUGGGACUGAGACACGGCCCAGACUCCUACGGGAGGCAGCAGUAGGGAAUCUUCGGCAAUGGGGGCAGCCCUGACCGAGCAACGCCGCGUGAGUGAAGAAGGUUUUCGGAUCGUAAAGCUCUGUUGUAAGUCAAGAACGAGUGUGAGAGUGGAAAGUUCACACUGUGACGGUAGCUUACCAGAAAGGGACGGCUAACUACGUG